UGUGGCACGCGUUCUUUCACCUUCUGUCUUUCUUCAGAAAUCCCAAGCGCCAUUUUUUUUCAUUUUCACUUUCUCUCAUUUCUCUCUCCCCAAUUGCUAUCUCCCCCUUCUCUGUUCCUUCUUUCCAUUUUUUCAUUCUCCUCAUUUUUUACAUCUAAAGCUGUGAUUUUUUACACUAAAACUGUGGUUUUUAUCUCAGAUUCCAUGACAACGAUAUCGUAUUUGCGUUCCUCUCCAGGUUUGCAUUUCUAUAUCGUGUUCUUGGUGGAAAAACACACCAAAGCUGUCAUUUUUAUCUCAAAACUCUCUGAGUGCAGAUUCGUUUUCUUUGUGACUUCUGACAAUACAAAGGUUUAAAUUUUUUUAUUUUGUUUUCUGACUUCUCUCAUUACCUUCGUUAUUGUAUGUAGAGAAGGUGAAAAAACACUAAAGUUGGGAUUUUUAUCUCCAAAAAGCUUCGAUUUUUAUCUCAAACAAAUUUGUUUUCUUUGUUUCUCUGUUUACGUUUUGUUUGUUUCUUUGUUUCUCACUAUACAAAAGCUUACAUUUUUUUUAGUCAACCUCUAUUGCAUGCAGAGAAGGUGGAAGAGCACACUACAACUGCAGUUUUUAUUUGAAAACUCCACGAGUACGGGUCAUUUUCUUUGUUUUUUUGGUUUAUGGUUAAAUUUUUUCGUCUUCGUCAGCCUUCUCAAACGUGUUCAUUCUUUCUUAUACCCAUUUUUUUGGGGUUUUAUGAUUUUUUUUGCAAGACAAAAGCUUUAAUUUUUUUGGGUUCCUCUCCAAGUUUGCAAUUCUAUAUCGUGUUCUUGGUGGAAGAACACACCAAAGCUGUCAUUUUUAUCUUAAAACUCUAUGAGUGCAGAGAAGGUGAAAGAACACUAAAGUUGUGAUUUUUAUCGAUAAAAAGUUUUGAUUUUUAUCUCAAACAGAAGAUGGAAGAAGACACUAAAGAUGUGAUUUUUAUCUACAAAAAGCUUCGAUUUUUAUCUCAAACAGAGAAGGUGGAAGAAGACACUAAAGCUGUGAUUUUUAUCUACAAAAAGCUUCGAUUUUUAUCUCAAACAUGUUUGUUUUCUUUGAUUCUCUGACUAUGUUUUGUUUGUUUCUUUGUUUCUCAUAAUACAAAAGCUUAAAUUUUUUUGUGAACCUCAGCCUUCUCCGGUGUCCCACUUUUUUUGGGUUUUAUGAUUUUUGGCAAGACAAAAGCUUUCAUUUUUUUGGGUGUUCUCCCUUUAUUUUGUUUCCUGAGUUCUCGCACUGCAAAAAACUUAGAUUUUUUUGGUGUUCCUGAGCCUUCUAUAAUUUGUGUUGCAUUUUGGGUUUAUAUUUGGAUCAUUGGGUAACUUUUUUUUUUGUUUUAUUUUUCGCAACCCAAAAGCUUAAAUUUUUUUGGGUGUUCUGCCUUUAUAUUUUUUUCCUUUAAUGUUGGCUGAGUUAUUUCUAUAGGUUAUAUUUUUAUAUUUGUUCAAUCCCUUUGAGUUAGACACUUCCAGCUUUGAUUUUCAAAUAUAUGACAUGCUUUAUUAUCACAUAUAUGUCAUCCUUUAUUUAUAUGGUCAAAUGAUUGAAUAUAGUAGUUUUGGACUUCUUUGUUUAUGGUAAUUUUUGGGUUACAUGGAUUUCAAUUUACAUUUUGAUGCAGAAGCUCUCAACAUUCGUAACUUGAAUUAUAUUUAUUCAUUAAUAUAGAUAACCAGGAAGCAGCAAAAUUGGAGUGAUGAUGACCCCAUUUGAUUGAUGAAGAAAUUUUUAUGUUACUUUGUUUUAACAGUUUAAAGUUGUAAUUUAAUAAUUAUGAUUUCCAGACAAUGUAUUUUAUUAAUAUUGUAUUUUAUUAAUGAUA